rnacentral:rRNA from 1 species
CCUACGGGAGGCAGCAGUGAGGAAUAUUGCUCAAUGGUCGAAACACUGAUCCAGCGACGCCGCGUGAGUGAAGAAGUAAUUCGUUAUGUAAAGCUCUAUCAGCAGGGAAGAAAAUGACGGUACCUGAGUACGAAGCCCCGGCUAACUACGUGCCAGCAGCCGCGGUAAUACGUAGGCAGCAAGCGUUAUCCGGAUUUACUGGGUGUAAAGGGAGCGUAGAGGGCAGUGCAAGUGUGGAGUGAAAGGCGGGGGCUCAACCCCCGGACUGCUCUGGAAACUGUCCGGCUGGAGUGCAGGAGAGGUAAGUGGAAUGCGCGGUGUAGCGGUGAAAUGCGUAGAUAUUAGGAGGAACACCAGUGGCGAAGGCGGCUUACUGGAUUGUAACUGACGUUGAGGCUCGAAAGCGUGGGGAGCAAACAGGAUUAGAUACCCGUGUAGUC